UACGUAGGGGGCAAGCGUUGUCCGGAAUCAUUGGGCGUAAAGAGCGCGUAGGCGGCCCAGUAAGUCCGCUCUGAAAGUCAGGGGCUCAACCCCUGAAUGCGGGUGGAUACUGCUGGGCUAGAGUAUGGGAGAGGGCAGUGGAAUUCCCGGUGUAGCGGUGAAAUGCGUAGAUAUCGAGAGGAACACCUGCGGCGAAGGCGGGUUGCUGGGCUGACACUGACGCUGACAGCGCGAAAGCUAGGGGAGCGAACGGG
rnacentral:rRNA from 1 species